UACGGAGGUGGCAAGCGUUGCUCGGAAUCACUGGGCGUAAAGGGCGCGUAGGCGGGAUGGCAAGUCAGUCGUGAAAUCUCUCGGCUCAACCGAGAAACGUCGGCUGAUACUGCCGUUCUUGAGGGAUGCAGAGGAGACUGGAAUUCCCGGUGUAGCGGUGAAAUGUGUAGAGAUCGGGAGGAACACCGGUGGCGAAGGCGGGUCUCUGGGCAUCUCCUGACGCUGAGGCGCGAAAGCGUGGGGAGCGAACAGG
rnacentral:rRNA from 1 species